GGUAAAGUUCCCCCCAAAUCCAAACACAUCGGACCCUCUCUCACAAAACACACAUCCGAUGCUAACUACUCAACCUCAAUCUUACAAAAUCCUCUCACUACUCAACCUCAAUCUGCAAUAUAUCCAUUAAUUUCUUCCGGUGAAAUGAAAUUUGGGCUACCAGCUACUGAUUUCUAUUUUUUCUAUUAUACAGGUGAUUACGGCUCUCAAUUGGGGUUUUUGGCAGGGGCUUGAAAUUAGGGCUUUUAGCAAGAGCAGAAGGCAGUUCAUUGGGUUUGAGUGAAUCAGUUACAGGGGUAUCUGUUUCAAGCCCCGUGUCCUCAGCAGUGCGGAACGCCGAAGAUGAAGCAGAGUAGCAGGAAACAGAAAACAAGAGAUUAGAAGUUCCAUAAACAGGCCUCUUCUAUGAUUUUGUAUAAACCCUCAACCCUUACUAUCUGCUCUGCUAUUUUAUAUUUUUAUAAAUGUAUGAAUUCUUCACUUGAUGUUCUUUCUCUAUCAGUCAGGAUAAUUCUGAUAUGAUGAUCACCCAAUAUCAAGCAAAAAUCUCAGGUCUGCCUGCAAGUACAUGAAAAAACUGCAUGUUAGCUCUUCCAGAAUGCAGGAAUUCAGUACUAAGUCGGGUACUUAUAUAAUUUGUUAGCUCUUGUUAAACUUAGAUUUCCCUUUAGCUCUCGUUGUUUUUUAACCCAUAAAAUGUAUCAGUCUGGUUUUAGGUAAUGUGAUAAAGUUCUUUUUGUAAAGACUAUUUGAAGAUUGUUUUUGCUUGAUACUGUUAAUUAUAUCGAUUCAUUGUCGAAUGGAGUGGUUACUUGUGAAUAGGUUUCAAGUAGUUAUUAAUUAGUAUAAUAUCUUUAACCAUCAGUAAUUACAGGUUAUUUCCAGUCUUGCAAUGUUGCCAUGUUACCCUUAUUAUACUCCUCGAUAGUGAAAAAACUAUUCUGUCUUAAAUAGUAAAACGACAUAUAGAAUUUGAAUGUUGGGAACUUGGUGUUUGGUUCUGGAAAAACUAUUGUGGCGUAUAUUGUGAUGCCACAAGGAUAAGAACAAACAAUGUAUUGUAUUUUUAUAUUAUUCUUAUACUCUUGCCAUAUCCUAAAUUUGUGUUCCAGACUAGUUAUAUUCUCUUUAGAUUCCAGUAAUGAUUAGCUUUGUGUAAAGAUUAUAAUUACAGAGCAGCUUGCAAAGAUGGUUUCUAAGAAAGGGUCCCAGAUAUAUCAAAGAGAACUUGGAGAUAAUUGUCUGUUGAAAAUGAUAAGAUUUGUAUUUUGGUUAAAACUAGCACCCUUGUAUUCCUUGUUACGAAUCCUUUGUUUACAUAUGUAUGAAGAUCCAACUGAGUAUAGAAUGGAUUGAAUAUUUGUAAAUUCUUUGUUUAAUUGAUUAAUUCAUUCUGA